rnacentral:rRNA from 1 species
CCGGCACGGGUGAGUAACGCGUAUGCAACUUGCCUAUCAGGAGGGGAUAACCCGGCGAAAGUCGGACUAAUACCGCAUGAAGCAGGGGCCCCGCAUGGGGAUAUUUGCUAAAGAUUCAUCGCUGAUAGAUAGGCAUGCGUUCCAUUAGGCAGUUGGCGGGGUAACGGCCCACCAAACCGACGAUGGAUAGGGGUUCUGAGAGGAAGGUCCCCCACAUUGGUACUGAGACACGGGCCAA